AGAGAGAGAGAGGUCUUCCAUCUGCUGGUUCACUCCCCAAAUGACUGCAAUGGCUGGAGCUGGGCCAAUCUGAAGCCAGGGGCCAGGAGCUUCUUUUGAGUCUGCCAGGACUCGAACUGGCACCUACAUGGGAUGCUGGCGCAGCAGGCUGUGGCUUUACUCGCUAUGCCACAGCACCGGCCCCCCCACAUAGCAUUUUUAAUAGAAACAUUGAACAUGAACUGCAUCAAGCAUCAGAACCUAACUCUCACCCUACAGGGGAUACAGGAGACAGAGAUGCCUGUUGAAUGGCCCCAUUCUAGGGGGAAGCUCUUAUUCGACAAAGAAAUAUCAAGAAGAAAAAGGGAGGGCUGGUGAUAUAGCAGGUAAAGUUGCUGCCUCCAACAUCUGCAUCCUGUGUGGGCAGCUUGUUCAAGUCCCAGCUGCUCCACUUCCGAUCCAGCUCUCUGCUAUGGCCUGGGAAAGCAGUGGAAGAUGGCCCAAGUGCUUGGGCCCCUGCACCUGCAUGGGAGACCCAGAAGAAGCUCCUGGUUUCUGGCUUCGGAUCGGUUCAGCUUUGGCUGUUGUGGUCAUUUGGGGAGUGAACCAGCAGAUAGAAGACCUCUCUCUCUUUCUCUCUCUCUCUCUCUCUCUCUCUCUCUCUCUCUCUGCCUUCGCCUCUCUGUAACUCUGCCUUUCAAAUAAAUAAAAUAAUUCUUUAAAAAAAAGUACAGACAUAAAAUGACUAAAAUACAUGCUAGCCAAUACAGCAAGUCCCUCUCAAAAUAAUAUGAGCUAAUUGAGAGAAUUUAAACACUUUGAAGUAUUCAGGAAUUACUACUAACUUUGUAGAGGUAUUAAUAGUCCGGGUCUUUUAGAGAAGCGGCCAAGGAAUUAUUUAAGGAAGAAGUGAUUCAAUAUCUGGAAUUGAUUAGCAAAGAAAGAGUUGGGGGGCCAAGUUGGUGGAGUAGAAGUGCAUCAGGGUUGCUGAUGGCUGGAGCUGAGUGCUGUGAUGUCUUUUCUCUACAGCUCUUUUGAAAAUCAUCAAACCAAAGAGUGAAAAAGUUGGAGCUCACAUUCACGAAAUUUCAGGAGCUUAAUGUUGGAUCGCCUGGAACGCUAUGGCUCCACUGGAACCACUUGGUGUCCACCUGGACUUCCUCUGGACCCCUACUCGUGGUCCUGGUUGACCUGGUUGAAGAAAUCCUCUCUUCAUGCCGUUGCUGGCUGCCUCCUCAUCCUGGCCUUCUUGCCUCCUGGCUGUUUUGCUUGUCGAAAGGUUACUCUUGGAGAUUGAACCCCGAAUCGCAAACUCUAGCUGUGUGUUCUGUGACCGUGGCAGUAGCAGACACCCCUGACCAGCCUUUCCUUCUCGAAUCUCUUCUCUUCCUCGGCUUCCACGAUCAGGAUGCUCCUGACUGUCCUCUGACCUUGCGAUCCAGCCUUAACCAGCCGCUCAGCUCUGUCCGUGCACCCUGGGGAGCAGCUCCUUGGCUUCAGGUUUCAGCUGUCCACCUUCCACUCUUGACUGUGCCACCUGAGAACUGCCACCUGCUUUCCCUGCAACCACCUGCUCUGUGGAAGACUUCUCCAUACUACAUUUCUAGCCUUGCUCUCCUCCCUAGCUUUUUUUUUUUUUUUUUAAGAUUUAUUUAUUUAUUGGAAAGACAGAGAGAGGUCUUCUAUCUGCUGGUUCACUCACCAAAUGGCCGCAAUGGCUGGAGCUGUGCUAAUCUGAAGCCAGGAACCAGGACCCAGGAAUAACUUCUGGGUCUCCCACGCGAGUGCAGGGUCCCAGGACUUAGGCUAUCUUGUACUGCUUUCCCAGGCCAUAGCAGAGAGCUGGAUCGGAAGUGGAGCAGCUGGGACUCGAACUGGCACCCAUAUGUGAUGCCAGUGCUGCAGGUGGCAGCUUUACCUACUACGCCAUAGUGCCAGCCCCCUCCCUAGCUUUUUAGUCUCACCUCUUCAGCUGUUUCACAGGUAGCCCUACUUGGAGGUCCCUUCAUUACUCCAAACCCAGUGUUCCUAAAAAACAAAUUCCUUUCCUCAUCCUUGCUUUCUGUAUUUCUCGAGGUUCCAUUUUUGUUGUCAGUUUUUUUUAAAUGUGCUUGUUUAUUUUCAUUUUAUUUGAAAGGCAGAGAGAGAGACAGACACACAGAGAGAGAGAGACAGAGAGAGAGACAGAGGGAGAGGGAGAGAGGGAGAGAGAGGGAGAGAGAGAGACUUUCCAUCUGCUGGUUCACUCCCCAAAUGCCUGGAGCAGUCAGAGCUGGGCCAGGCUGAAGCCAGGAGCCAGGAACUUGAGCCUGGAUCUUCAAGUAGCCAGCAGGGCCCCACGUUCUUGAGUCAUCCUGUGCCACCUCCCAGGAUGUGCAUUAGCCGGAAGGGGUAUGGGAAGUGGAGUAGACUCCAAGCAGCCUCUCCGAUCCAGGGUACAGGUGUCCCACAUGACAUCAAGUGUCCACUGCUCUUGUCCACUCUUUAUUCAUAAUGUCUCAUCUCUCACUUGGCUCUCCUUAUCCAUCCUUACUUCCGACACUCAUGUUCAGGUCCUAGGCUUGCCUUCUGGCUGGGUUUCCCAGGGCCUUGUGCUCUGUGGACUGAAGAUUCCCUCGUUUUGUUCUGGCUCUCACUUCUCUGAAGCCAUCAGACCCUCUUGUUGUCCCUGCCUCUCCACCAUUCUCCCUCUGAUCUCAAGCAUCUAGUUCAGGCUUGGUUCUGACCAUGCCAGCCCCACUCUGAUCUCUUCAUAGGUAACACCUACUCCAAAGAGUCUGAUUCUUCCCAGCUCCUUUAUCCUGGGCAGGAGCAGAGUUCUACCUGUGUUUCAAGACCAAGUUCACUGGAAGUCAUCGAUGGGGACCUCAUUGUUGCCAUAGCAUCCUUCCCCUAGUGUUAAGAUGGCUCUGAGCUUUAGAGACUUUUAGAGAGUGUGGUCUUAAGACAGAGUUUGAGCUGGUGCUGUGGUGUAGCAGGUAAAGCCACUGCCUGCAGUGUUGGCAUCCCGUAUGGGUGCCAGUUUGAGUCCCAGCUGCUCUACUUCUGAUCCAGCUCUCUGCUGUGGCCUGGGAAAGCAGUAGAAGAUGGCCCAAGUCCUUGGGCCCCUGUACCCGCCUGGGAGAACCAGAAGAAGCUCCUGACUCCUGGCUUAGGAUCAGCGCAGCUCCGGCCAUUGUGGCCAAUUGGGGAGUGAACCAGUGGAUGGAAGACCUCUCUCUCUCUCUCUGCCUCUCCUUCUCUCUGGAACUCUAACUUUCAAAUAAAUAAAUAAAUAUUUAAAAAAUUCACAGAAAAAUAAAAUUAAAAAGCAAGUUCAUUUUGGUCUCCCCAUUUUAAGUCCAUACAUAGUUUUUUAAAACUUUCCAUGAAAUUUUUGAAGGUUCCCCCUACCCCUACCUUGUUUAUUAGCUCUCCCUAGGAUGGAAGCUUCCAGAGACCAAGGUUUUUUCUCUGUUUUAUUCGUUGCUGUAAACAGUAUGUAGCAGAAAGUAGGCUCCCGGGAGCUAUUUGUUAGAUAAUUGAAUGAAUGGAACUUAUGCUUGGACCUGUCCAGUGUGGCUCACUGGUGGGUAACGGGGGCGUAGCUGGACCAGGCUGUAGCUGGGUCGUUAGGAGCUGCUGUCCAGCCAGCUGGUGCUAACAAGGCUGCUACCUCACCUGCCACAGCAGCCAGUUCUCUGCAGGUUAUUGCUAUCCUUGGAGCCUUUUCAGCUCAAAGGCUCUUGCUGUUCUUGGGAACCAUUUUGACUCAAAUCAAAACACAUGACUAUUUAAAUGCCUGCCAGAGGCCGCAUCUUUCUAUUCGCUGCAACUCUUAAUCCUCCUGGGAACCCAAGCACCAACAUCUACUAUUCCACCUUAUCAAGUAAGAAAGCUAGGACCCUGCAGAACUGAGGUCCUUGCUCGAGUCCUGAUGGCUUAAAGUGGAAAGACCUCAAUUCCAACUCACAUCAGCCUGAUCCCAAAGGCAGUUAUGGUCAUCUGACAUCCCUGAACCUGCAGUUCCCAGUAGUGGGUAAGGACGGAAGGACAAAGACAAGGCUGGCCUGGCAAGACUGGGAACUAUUUACAGGGGAAUCUUGUUGCAUCUCCCUCCCUUGCCCAGAAUUCCGUCUGGGGUGAGGAUGAGGAGGUAGAUGAUGCGUGGAUCCUCUAUGGUUCUGACCUGUCUUGGGUUUCACCAUGAUAAAUGUUGCUGUUUCACAGAUAUUUCAACCUCACCAUUGCUAAGGGUUAAACCAAACUUCCAAGUGAGCUUCCACAAGCUGUUAUGAUGUAGUUUGUACUCCCUUGAAAUUCUAGUUGUGUAUCAGGGAGGGUGCCGGUGUGUGUGUGGGGGGUCACACAGAGCACUGGCAGAAUCAAGGGGAGGUGUUUAAAUUGUUGGGGCACUUAAGGAGGUUUUGAAGCAUGAAUAGAAGUUUUCCAGGUAAAAGAAAGGAGAGGAAGGGUAUUUCAGGCAUAAAAAAAGUGUGCCAAUCGUUAGCGCUGAAUUCCCUUGCUGUGCCAAUGACAUUGCUGAUGUACUGAACCAGGUGGAAAAUGAGAUUGUGUUUACCUGAUUUGCUUCCUUCUAUGUCAUAGAGUCAAGGGCAAUGCCAUGGACUGGGCAGUCACUCAACAAAUACUUGUGCAUUUGGAACAAAUGGCAGCCAUCUUUCACUCUCUUGGUUCCCACACUGUCAUCCUAUUGCCACACCCCUCUUUCUAUUUCUGCUCCUACUCCCUGAGCAAGACAUUUACCACUAAAACCAGAGUAGUAGCCUCAUAAAUAAUCUCUCCACUUGGUGUCCAUGCUCACUGCAUUUAUCCUACCCACUGUAGUACCCCUUAUAUUCUUAAGAAGGAUUAGAAUACUUUUUAAAAAAGAUUUUAUUUAUUUAUUUGAGAGGUAGAGUUACAGAUAGUGAGAGGGAGAUACAGAGAGAAAGGUCUUCCAUCUGCUGGCUCACUCCCCAGAUGGCCAAAAUGGCCGGAGCUGCGCCAAUCCAAAGCCAGGAGCCAAGUGCUUCUUCCUGGUAUCUCAUGCAGGUGCAGGGCCCAAGGACUUGGGCGAUCUUCUACUGCUUUCCCAGGCCAUAGCAGAGAGCUGGAUCGGAAGAGGAGCAGCUGAGACUAGAACUGGCACCCAUAUGGGGUGCCAGAGCCGCAGGUGGAGGAUUAACCUACUGUACCACGGUGCCGACCCCCCUCCUUCAGUUUCAUAACUCACAUCCCAUCUCUGUAAGUCCUCUGCUCCAGCACAACUGAAAUAGUUCCACUUCCCAGAGCCCACUUCCUAUGUCCUCAUCUUUAAGCCUUUUCCUCACAUGGUUCCCAGGACAUGAAAGAGACCUCCCUGUUGAGAUCCUUCCCUGCGUGGAGGCCAACCUUGAGCUCCACAACCUCCAGGAAUCGUCUGAUCAAGCCCUCCUAACAUUAUGCAUCUUUCUUUGGAUAUUUGAUAGCAUUCAUCUGGGAAUUUAACUCUCCAUCCCCAUGUUUCUUGCCUGGAGCAUUCCUUGGCAAAUGGAGGGGAUACUGCAAAUGAGAUCUUCUGAGGAUGAUAUAAGAGAAAGCAGGAGAAAUUGUUUUAUAAAUCAAGAAGUAGUAUGAACAUUUGAGGUAAUAUAAAGAUGUUGGUGAUAGUGGUGAUGAUGAUGAUGGAGAUGAUAAUUAUGAUGAAGAUGGUGGUGGUGAUGGAGGUAGAGAUUAUUAUGGUGACUGGUGGUGAUGAUGGUGAUGAUGAAGAUGGUGGUGGUGAUGAUGGUGAUGAUGAAGAUGGUGCUGAUAAAGAUGAUGAUGGUGAUGAUGAUGAUUAUGGUGGUAGUGGUGAUAGUGGACAUGGUGAUUGUAGUGGUGAUAAUGGUGAUGGUGUUGAUGCCAAUUGUGGUGAAGGUGGUGGUGGUGACGAUGAUUGUAAUAAUGCAGAUGGUGAUACUGCUGCUGCUAAUGAUUGUGAAUGUGCAGAAUGAUCAUAUUUCUACCUCCGUAUUUACUCUCUGCCUCUCCCAUCAUGCUCUGUGCUCUGAGAGGCCAAACCCUGUGGACUACAUCAGCUAAGCUUCCAUGCUCUUUGGUUGCCUGUUUAGUUCACCCAACAGAAAAUGAAAAUUCAGAGUGAGAGAAGAGAGUUUGGAUAUUCAGUCACCUGGCUUUCUCUCUACUGGACCCCUGCUUCAGAGUAGCUGCCCUUGAAACUCACAGUGCAGUCCUGAUAGUCCCUCUUCCUUAGUAAGAGUUCUUGCCAGAUUCUGGUAGGUACUUCCCACCUUACCCAUUCUGCUUAGGGUAGAUAUGGCUCCCUUUCGCACCAGUCUCACGUCGUGUCACUAACAAUUUCCCUUAACUCUUUUCUGACUAUAUUUUUAAAAACUCUCUACAAUUUCCCCUUUUCAGUGUUAUCAAUUUGCAUUUCUUGGUAAGAUCUUGACUUAUGUAAUGACUUAUGUGGUGGUGAGAGUGCUCAUGUGAUUUUUAACCCAGCUGGGAGCCUAAGAAUUGUAAUAAGCAACUACAUGCAGAAUGGCUACAGAAUUUAGGAAGCAAUCAGCCAGGUGCCCAUGAUAUCAGCUGUCUAUUGACAUAUAGCAACUUUCCUCACAAUUCAAUGUUUUAAACAAUAAUUUAUUAUGUCUUAUCCUUUUGCAGGUCAGGAUUUAAGGAGGCACAGCAGGAUGGCCUGUUUCUGCUCCAUCACAUCUAGGGCCUCCUGUGGAAGGCUUGAAGACUGGAGGCUCAUUCAGCUACAGCUUUCCCAGUCGAUUCUGGCUGUUGGUCAAGUCCCAAGGGUGAACACUCAGAGACAAAGGAAGAGGGAGCCAGGCUGAUGCCAAAUUGCCUUUUAUAACCUAGACUUGGAGGUCAUGUCCCAUCUCUUCUACCAGGUUUUUUUGGUUGGAAUAGUUGUAAAGGUUUGGUCAGGUGUAAGGGGAGGGGAUGGUGCCCUGUCUCUCAAAGGAGCACAGCUGAUGUGACGUGGAGAGAUUACAGUGAUGUAAGCCACUUCCAGACCUAUGCAGGAGCUCCAUGCAUGGUCCAGUCUUUCUUCCUUGGCAGUGGCAACUGCACAGAACACAAAGUAGACAGAAUUGUGGAAGUUGACAAAGACCAAAGCCAAGGCAUCUGAAUCCCUGAGUCAACACCUGGAGGAGAGCCACCUGAUCCACAUUGACCUUUGUGGGUAUAAUAACCCAAUUCCUAGUGUGUCAGUCUGCUGAGACUCAGUGAUUGCUCCAAGAAAAGAAUUUUAUUCAUAUCCCCAAAUUGUGAAGGAGCCCAUGUGUCUCUCUUUCUGGAUUCAUAGCACUUAUUAAGAAUCCAAAUCUAUGAAGAAAGCAGAGGACUAGGGCUAAUUCCUUCUUCCUCUUUAUAAUCUAUGAACUACUCUUCACCCCAAAGCUUAGCAGGUCAGCUGACCAUGGGGAAGAGGAGGAAGAUAAUCAUGGCACUGGGUCAGCAACCUAGACCAGCCCUACAGCAGAAGAGCGGGUGUGGCCAAUGUUGGGUCCUUACUCGAAGGAUCUUGGGGACAAUGGAGCAUGCUUUCUUGGGAAUGAUUGGCAGAUUCGUGUCUGCAGGGGGCCUUACCACACCACAGAAGACAUCAGCUGAAGGCAGUAGUCGGCCGGAUGUCCGUUCCAAUAAAAAGCCUGGGCAAAGUAUCUGUAGGGUGAUAUUUAGAAUUGACAUUUUCAUAAGGAUCCGUUCCGUAGAGAGUUUUCCUGGGGCUGGGGGUCCCACAUUUUUCAUUCUUCCUCCUUCCCACUUUCCAUGAUUAAACCACGCUCAGAGUGGUAAACGGUGAAAGUGACAAGCUUCAAGGGCAACAUUUUUUAAAUGCUUCUAAUGGAGAAAUAAUCUCAACAAAAUGAUUUCAAUAAUAGUUUAAUUGUAAUGUCGAAAGACAAUAUUUCUUUUUUUAAAAGAUUUAUUUAUUUAUUUGAAAGACAGAGUUUCACACACACACACACACACACACACACAGAGAGAGAGAGAGAGAGAGAGAGAGAGAGAGAGAGAGGUCCUCCAUCUGCUGGUUCACUGCCCAAUUGGCUGCGACGGCCGGAGCUGUGCCAUUCUGAACCCAGGAGCCAGGAGCUUCUUGCAGGUCUCCCACAGGUGCAGGGGCCCAAGGACUUGGGCCAUCUUCCACUGCUUUCCCAGGCCAUAGCAGAGAGCUGGAUUGGAAGUGGAGCAACCAAGACUCAAACCAGCAUCCAUACGGGAUGCCGGCACUGCAGGCAAUGGUUUUACCUGCUAUGCCACAGCACCGGCCCUGACAUAAUUCUAUUCAAAACAAUAUGUUCUUUGUGGCUGUAUUUUCUGCUUCCUCCCAGCUAGACUCUUGUUGUGUCUCCCUGGCUGGAAACCCACCAGCAACAUCUUGUUCUGUUCUCCUCAAAGGCAUCACUUAGGAGACGCCCAUCUCUCCUCCUCGGUGAUGUUGAUUUUAACGACAAAGGGCAGUAACUUUGACGAUGACCUUUAAAGGAAGAGGCCUCCUCUGAUUAGUAAGAGUGUGAUUCUGAUUGGUAAGAGUGUGAUGUCGGGUGUGAUCUUUUUUUUUUCUUGAUGGAGUGAAGCAACGUGAAGAUAUUCUGAGCCCUGCAACUCUGCUUUUGAUUUGCACUGUCUGGAUGUUGCUGGUCCCCCUUCUCGCCAGGUGAGAAGACCAGGGCAGGACACACAGGUGGCCUACAGCUGGGAAGCCACCUGCAGGAGGCCCUGCCUCCAAUGCUAGGCUUUGAGCACUGGCAGCCCUCAAUCCCCUGGGGAAUUCUUAAAGAAGACUGGUACCUAGGAGACAUCCACUGGAGUAGAAGCGACUGCUCACACACCACUGGCACUGCUCCAUCAAGGUUUUCACAUUCUAAUGAGCCUGCAAGAAGACUCAUCUGACUUCUAGGGACUCUGGAAAGGGUUGGCUAACCCAGGAUCAGGAUCAGAAAUAUCCCGGUCAGCUGGACCUCUACAAAGUGAAAUAUGAGAGGCCGGCACCAUGGCACAGUAGGUUAAUCCUCCUCCUGCAGUGCCAGCAUCCCAUAUGGGCGCUGGUUCGAGUCCCAGCUGCUCCUCUUCCAAUACAGCUCUCUGCUAUGGCCUGGGAAAGCAGCAGAAGAUGGCCAAGUGCUUGGACCCCUGCACCUACGUGGGAGACCUGGAAGAAGCUCCUGGCUCCUGCUUCGGAUCGGCACAGCUCCGGCUAUUGCGGCCCUCUGGGGAGUGAAUCAGCAGAUGGAAGAUCUUUGUCUUUGUCUCUGUCUCUCCCUCUCUCUCUCUCUGUAACCCUACCUCUCAAAUAAAUAAAUAAAUAAAUAAAAAUUAAAAAAAAAAUCUGUCAGAAGCAACUGACUAGUUACUUGGUAGAACAGUUGUGAGUAGCAAACACACCUGGUCGCAUGGUCUGGAUUUACAUUUCCCUGGUGACAAAUGAUGCUGAGUGUCUGUCCCUGUGCUCAUUUUUUUUUAUAAACGUUGUGAAGUCUAUUCAGAAUUUUUAUUGGGGUGUUCUCUUGUUAUUGAGAGUUUUCUCCCUUAUUUUUAAUCUGUGUUCUAAGGCCUUUAUUUAUCUGAUACAUGUUUUGCAAAUGUUGAGUCCUCCUCAUCUCUGUCUUAUCUUUUUCUUUUAAAAUAUUUUUUAAUUUAUUUGAAAGGCAGAGUUAUAGAGAUGAAGAGGCAGAGGCAGACAGAGAAGAAGGUGUCCCACCUGUGGGUUCACUCCUCAAAUGGCCACAGUGGCCAGGGCGGGAUCAGACCAAAGCCUGGAGCCAGGAGCUUCUUCCAGAUCUCCCAUGUGGACGGCAGGGUUCCAAGUACUUGGGCCAUCUUCCACAGCUUUUCCCGGGCUAUUUGCAGGGAGCUGGAUCAGAAGUGGAGCAGCUGGGGCUAGAACCUGCUCCCAUAGGGUAUGCUUAACCUGGUAGUCGACAGCACCGGCCUCAUCUUUUUAUUUUUCAUAAUGUCUUUUUUUAAAGAUCUAUUUAUUUAUUUGAAAGAGUUACACACAAGAAAAGGGGGGGGGGAGAGAGAGAGAGAGAGAGAGAGGUCUUCCAUCCACUGGUUCACUCCCCAAUUGGCCACAAUGUCCAGAGCUGAGCUGACCCAAAGCCAGGAGCCAGGAGUUUCUUCCGGGUCUUCUACAUAGGUUCAGGGGCUCAAGGACUUGGGCCAUCUUCUACUGUUUUCCCAGGCUUUAGCAGAGAGCUGGAUCGGAAGUGGAGAAGCCAGAACCAUACGGGAUGCCAGCACUGCAGGCAAUGGGUUUACCCACUACACCUUAGCCCUGGCCUCAGGAGACUCCAUUUAAUUCUGACAGCUUUCAUAAUUCUUUCACAAGUGUAAUUUUGAUUAAGCCCAAUUUAUUGAUUUUUUUAUGCCUUGUGUUUUUGUAGUCCAACUGAAGAGAAAUGUGUCUAGCAUUAGGUUACAAAGGUUUUCUCUAUUUUCUUCUAGAAGUUUUGUAAUUUUACAUUUAGGUAUGUAAUCUAUUUUGAGUUUAAUUUUUGAAUGUGGUGUGAGGUUUGGUAACACUGCUUUUCAGAUAAAUAGAUCUUUUUUAAAAAGUAACAGAUCCAGGGCCGGCACUGUGGUGUAGCUGGUAAAGCUGCUGCCUGCAGUUUGGGCAUCCCAUAUGGGCACUGGUUCAAGUCCCAGCUGCUCCACUUCCAAACCAGCUCUCUGCUAUGGCCUGGGAAAGCAGUAGAAGAUGGCCCAAGUGCUUGGGCCCCUGCACCCGUGUGGGAAGACCCAGAGGAAGCUCCUGGCUUCAGAUCAGCCCAGCUUUGCUUGUUGCAGCCAACUGGAGAGUGAAUCAGCAGAUGGAAAACCUCUCCUCUCUCUCUCUCUCUCAAAUAAAUAAAUCUUUAAAUAAAAUGCAGAGCCUUCAAUGGCAAGUACAAGGCAGAGAAGACCAAUGAAGUCUGCCUUAGUUUCUGCGAGACAAACCUGGAAGUUGCAGUGGACUCCAUGCUCACGAAGUCCCUACAGCGUAUCUGUGCUGUUCAAACCAGAAGAUACUGUGGCAACCAGGCCACAGGGGUUACUAACCUUAUUGCUUUCCAUACUGGCUGAUCUGUGCUUGAAUUUCUGUUACAUUUCACUGUGAUUUUUUUUUUUUUUGAAAGAGCACUAUGGACAAAAUGAAGAAGUCAGAGGAUGCCUGUGGUGGGUGUGGCCUGGUGGUGGAGGGCAGGAAGGUGAGGGAGGUGACACCUGAGUCACAUUUCUUAUGAGCAAUAGAAAGGCUUCAUCCUUUGCAUAGUGCUAAAAACCCUACCCUGACGGCCAAAUUGACUUAAAAUUCCAAUCCUGUGUCACUCUAUCUCUGGGACAAUCAGUGACUUACUUUUCUGAUUUUUUGUUUCCAUACCUGCAAAAUGUAGAUAAAGAAAACUCCCUCUCUUUUAAGUUUUUAUUGUGAGUGAUUAACAUAAGAUAAUCCAUGCCAAAAGCUUAGCUCAAUAUCUAGCAUUUUAUAUAUGCUCUAAAAAUGCUAGCUAGGCUUCUUGAUUUAUUUUUUAAAUAUUUAUUUAUUUAUUUGAAAGUCAAAGUUACACAGAGAGAGAAGAAGAAGGAGAGAGAGAGAGAGAGACGUCUUCCAUCCAAUGGUUCACUCCCAAAUUGGCUGCAGCAGCUGGAGCUGCUCCGAUCUGAAGCCAGGAACCAGGAGAUUCUUCCGGGUCUCCCAUGUGGGUACAGGGCCCAAGGACUUGGGCCAUCUUUCACUGCUUUCCCAGGCCACAGAAGAGAGCUGCAUUGGAAGUGGAGCAGCUGGAUCUUGAACCGGUGCCCAUAUGGGAAGCCAACACUGCAGGCAGUGGCUUUACCAGCUGCGCCACAGCGCCAGCUCCAAUAAUGGCAUUUUUAACUGAAAGAAACAUGAUACAUGCGACACCAAUGAAUUUCCUGGGUCAGCCUGGGGGCUGGAGUCCAAGCAGAUGUUUCCAGGGAGGGCUGAGCCCUGAGCUAAGACUGAUACUGAAGGAGUCAGCCAACCUGGAGCAGUGUCUGGGAUGGUCGGAGAAGGGGUUCCCCAGGAAGCAAUCAGCCUGCUUCACAGAGCCCGUGGAUGAAGAGCAUGGGUUGGAAAUAGACUGGUUUUGAACCAUUCUGGUCAAGUGAUUUGAUGCCUUUGAAUCCCAGUUGCUUCACUUACAAGGUCUUAAGAAUUCUGCCAUCACAGGUAGUUGCUAUGAUAAAAACAAGAUGUCUGCAUACCUCCUCGUGAGCACCCCAUGCUGGCUGUUUUUCUAUCCAUAGAACUCUAGCACUGCAAUGAGUCUGAAGCAUAGGAUGAUGCUGGGGUGGGGCAGGAUGGGAUGGGGGAAGUUAACAGGGAGAGAUGAUAAAUGGGCUGGGAUUAGUUGAUCAGGAAUGUGGGUGUUAUCUCUAAGGCAAUGAUUAACCAGAGAAAGGUCCUAAGCCCAGAGCACAGCAUUUUACAAAGAGCACCUGGGCCCUGCACGGGACAAUCAAUUGCAGGAGAGCUGAGGGAAGGCAAGGAGGUUGGUUAGGAGAUUGAGACAACGGCAGAGAGAUCUAGAGCAGAGGACAAAGUGAAGAAGAACAGGCAAGAGGCAGCCUGGUGGGUUUGGUUGGUGGUGAGAGGCAAACGGUUAGUGGAGGGAUGGCUGAUUCCAGGUGGCAGAAUGGAUUCUUGGGGAAAGAAAGCGAGUCUAUAUUCACUAUUAGGCAACUGUAGGCCAUCUGCACUGAGAUGCCUUCUCAGCGCUCAGUAGUCAUGUCUGGAGCCUGGAGGAUGGGUUUGGGCUGCAGAUGCCCCAUAGCAUCAGGGAAGAUGAUAGAUGAUACACAGACUGUUACACAAUACCUGCAGGGGAGUGAGAUCACCCAGGGACCACACCUUAAGGCACUGCUGGGUAUUCAUAUGCUUUCUUUGAGUGGCUGGCCUUGGGUGCAUUACUGUUUUUCAAUGAAGAUUUAUUUAUUUAUUUGAAAGGCAGAGCGACAGAUAUAGAGAUAGGGGCCAGUGCUGUGGCAUAGUAGGUUAAGCCUCCACCUGUGGCGCUGGCAUCCCAGAUGGGUUCCAGUUCAUAUCCCAGCUGCUCCACUUCUGAUCCAUCUCCCUGUUGAUCUCCUGGGAAAGCAGUGGAAGAUGGCCCAAGUGCUUGGGCCUUUGCAUCCAUGUGGGAGGCCCAGAGGAAGCUCCUAGCUCCUGGCUUUGGAUCAGCCCAACUCCAGCCAUUGGAGCCAUUUGGGGAGUGACCAGGCAGAUGAAAGACCUCUCUCUCUCUCUGUCUUACCCCCUCUCUGUCUGUAACUCUGCCUCUCAAAUAAAUAAAUCUUUAAAAAGAAGAGAUAGAGAUAGAUAGAUAGAUAGAUAGAUAGAUAGAUAGAUCUUCAUCAGUUGGUUUACUCUUCAAACAACAGCAACAGCCAAGUCUGGGCCAGGACAAAGCUAGGAACCAGGAGCUCCAUCUGGAUCUACUACCUGGGUGAUGGGGUCCCAAGUACCUGGGCCAUCUUCCACUGUCUUCCCAGGUGUGUAAACAGGUGUCUGGAUUGGAAGCAGAGCAGCUGGGAGUUGAACAGGUGCUCUGCUAUGGGAUGCUGGCAUCAUCACAAGCAGUGGUUUAACAUUGGCUCCUUGGAUGUGUUACUUGACCACUCUCAGCCUCGGUUUCCUGUAAAAUGAAUGUUAAAGUAUUUGUGGCCUGAUUUACGUAGAAGUGGUGAUUAGAGUGUUCCCUGACAUACAGGAAGAACUCGAUAAUUAUUGCCAUCAACAUCUUUGUAAGAGCGGAGGGAAGAGUCCAGGCAGGAAUUGCAGGGGAUGGUGGGACCAUGGUUAGGGAAGAGUGAGAAGGAAUCACACUGAGCGGAGUCUCCCAAGAGAGAGGGAAGGGAGAAAAUCUCAAGGACAUGGUAAUGAGAAGCCAAGAGAGGAGACCCCUUGAAGGUAGCAAAGGCACAGAACAAUAUCUACCAGGUCAGACAUGGAGACCCUUGGAGUCUGAUGUGGACAGGAGGCUGGAGGAGGAAAUGAAGGUUGAAGGAAAGGAAUCAAAUGAAUGUUUAGCUUAGAAAAGAAAGAGACGAUAGGCAUAUUGAGAAAUAAAUGAAGCUGUGGUUUAGAGCAAAAUACGUUCUCUCAUGCCAUCCAAGACCACCAAUGGGUGCCUGUGUUCUCACUGAAGAGCUGAAACUUGUAGAGGUUGGAAGGCUGGCUGGGGUCACAUGGCUGCUAAGAAGGAAAUCUGAUCUUAGAUGGACUUGGCCUUAAACUCUAUAAAUCCAGUAGGUAGAAGAAGAAAAGGGAGCAGACACGUGCUUGAAAUUAGGAAGAGACGUUAGCAGUUGGAGAACCUGCUACUGGACUCAACUGUGUCUCAAAGUAAGGGGAAAUGUGAGAUCAUAGCCUGGGCGAAUUGGAGCAUGGAGGAAGCUUUAUCAAUUUUGGAAUUGUCUGAUUUUCCUAUUGAGCCUGGGGUGUAGUGGGAGCUGGAAAAUGUGAACUGGCAGACUGCCCAUAGAGCAGAUCCCUACACUGAGAAGUUGGACCAGACAUCUGGGCUCCAAGACCCGUCUCUGAUCUAAGCCUUCAUGCCUCCUGGAAUUCUCCAACAGGAAUCAUCUCUGAUCAUUGGAGGUUGGAAAAACAGGUCAAGCUGACACCAGUGGGACAAGAGGGAGGGAAGGAGCAGGGUCAGGGAUCAAGGCCAGGAGUCCAGUUCAGGGACAAGAACUGGCAGAGUAGGCGCAGAGCGGAGAAGUGGAGACCCAGCACACAAAGGGGUUGACCCAAAGCAUCUAAAUUUCAAAAGAAGUCUCCAAGCGGAACAGAGGUGAAGCGCAGCAGAGUUGGCCCUGGGUCAGUGGAGUUCUCUGGCUUUGCUCUGUGGGAGAAAACCAGCCAACAGCAUGGACUCUAAGGAGCUGGGCCAUAUUAGCAAUCUCCAGCCACGAUCUUGAGAGCAGAGCGAAAGCCAAGAAGGCAGGCACCCAGCCGUACCUGGAGCCCACCUGGGUGCUCAGAGAGAGAUCAGUGAGAGCAGAGAACACCGGCCGCUGACGUUGGGCUGAAUCUGCUGGUUGUUUGCCGGCUUGACCAAAGUUCCCCCAGCUCUCUGCCUACGGAUGCAUUCGUGGAAGGAGGAUGUUGGGCUGCCAUCAUCACACAGUUCCCAGCCCUGCUGGGGCCGCCAUCGACCAGAACACACAGGUACUGGGGCUGGAGCUGUGUUGUAACAGGUGAUGCCGCAGCCUGCAGUGCCAGCAUCCCAUAUGGGCGCCAGUUCGAGUCCCAGAUGCUCCACUUCUGAUCCAGCUCUCUGCUAUGGCCUCGGAAAGCAGUAGAAGAUGGCCCAAGUUCUUGGGCCCCUGCACCCAUGUGGGAGACCUGGAAGAAGCUGCUGGCUCCUGGCUUCGGAUCAGCACAGCUCUGACCGUUGCGGCCAAUUGAGGAGUGAACCAGCGAUUGGAAGACCUCUCUCUAUCUCUCUCUGCCUCUGGCUCCCUGUAACUCUGCCUUCAAAUAAAUAACUAAAUCUUAAAACACACACACACACACGGACACCAAAAUUAAAAAAUGAUAAGACUUAGAGUUGCUAAAAAAUUGCUUAGGAUUAAAUCGAACAAAACACAUCCAGAACUUUUAUGUUAACAGCUGUAUAAUGCUGCUGAAAGAAAUCAGUGAGGAACUAAAUAAAAAGAGGACACAUACUGUCUCUAUGGAUUGGGAGACUCCACAGAGCAAAGAUGUUAAUUCUCCCCCAGCUCACAGGCUCCAUUUUGGGGAACUAGGCAGGAAGAUUCAGUGAGAAGCAUUGAGCUAGAAUAUUUUCUCAAGAGCUCUGUGCAGCCCUGCAUUGUAGCUCUAUUCCCCUUCUCUGUCAAUCCAAGUAUGCUCACUUUCCCAUGAUGCACCAAUGCCUUAUCCAGGACCAGGAAGGAGGAGAGACCAUGAUGGCCUCUGGAAGUUAAGCUCCACGUGGCUCCACCAUGAAACCUCCAGAAAGUCUCACGUGCACUAAACUCCACUCUGCUUGUAUAUUCAGUGAGGAAGCCGCCCCUAUCUCACAAAAGACGCUGAUAUCGUGGAAGCAGCCCUUCUUCUGCUGUUGGUUAUGGGCCACACAGGUGGCUCCUCCUCUCGCUUCCUCCCAUGGUCUCUCACAGAGAAUGCUCUGGCCCAUUCAUGACCGAUGUCUCUCCAUGUGGGGUGGCCCCCCCACACGCCUGAGUGUGUAUUCACUAUCUCUCUUUUAGAUAAACCCUGCUGUCACUUGGGCACUGUACCUAUGCCUUGGUUUUGAAUUCCUAUCACUGUGCGGGCAAGAACUUGAAAAAGAAAUUAACAGGUUGAAUGUAAUUCCUAUUGAAACCGUAUAAAGUUUGAGACACUAUAAAUAAGCAAGAUUAUUCUAAAAAUUUAUAUGAAAAGGCAAAGGGACUAAGAUAGUUCAAGCAAUUUUGGAAAAGAAGAACAAAGUAGGGGGAAUCAUUGUAUUGGAUUUCAAGAUUCUGAAGAGCUGGAAAAGUCGUAGGCACACAGACUGAUGGAUCAGACUAGGGAGUGUGGAAGAAGACCUGUACAAAUAUAACCUCAAAUUUUUUGUUGUGGUUGCAAAGGUCAUUCAAUGGAGGGGAAAUAACCUUUUCAACAAAUGAGUGGACAUUCAUGGGCAAAAUAUGAACCUUGACCUAAGUCCCAAAUCCUAGACAAAAAUUAACUCAAAAUGGAUCAUGGGCUUACGUGUAAAAUGUAAUGCCAGAAAACCUCUAGAAGAAAACAUAAGAUAAAAUAUCAGGGAUUUAAGACUGGGCAGACUUCUUAGACUUGACACCAAAGGCAGGACCCACAAAGGGAAAAAAAAGUUACAAACCAGACUUGAGGAAAAUCAAAAGCUUUUGCUCGGUGAAACACCCUGUGAAUAGGAGGAACAGAAAAGUACAAACUGGGAGAAUAUGUUAGUAAACCACUUACCCAAAUAGGACUAGCAUGGUAGGUAGAAUAAAUAAAGAUGCUUCCAAAUGCAGCAAAGAAGUCUAAAUAAUCGUAUUAGAAAAUAGGUGUGAUGGCAUACACAAAUGGCAAAGAAGCAGAUGAAAAGGUCUUUGGAGAGGAGGGAAAUUCUUACCCAUUAAGGAAAUGCAAAUUAAAACCAUGACAAAUAGUAUUGCUGCUCAAGGCUGGUAAGGAUGCAGAGAAACCAAAUCCCUCAUAGCUGCUUGGUGGAAAGGUAAAAAUGCUACAGCCUUUCCGGAAAACAAUUUGGCAGUUUCUUUAAAAGUGAAGAUGCCAGGCCGGCGCCGCGGCUCACUAGGCUAAUCCCCCGCCUAGCGGCGCCGGCACACCGGGUUCUAGUCCCGGUCGGGGCGCCGGAUUCUGUCCCGGUUGCCCCUCUUCCAGGCCAGCCCUCUGCUGUGGCCAGGGAGUGCAGUGGAGGAUGGCCCAGGUGCUUGGGCCCUGCACCCCAUGGGAGACCAGGAAAAGCACCUGGCUCCUGGCUCCUGCCAUCGGAUCAGCGCGGUGCGCCGGCCGCAGCGCGCCGGCCGCGGCGGCCAUUGGAGGGUGAACCAACGGCAAAGGAAGACCUUUCUCUCUGUCUCUCUCUCUCACUGUCCACUCUGCCUGUCAAAAAAGAAAUAAAAAAACAGAUAGAAAAAUA